AUGGCCUCCACCGCGCUCUCCACCGCCUCCAACCCCACCCAGCUCUGCCGGACCCGCGCGAGCGCGCUGUGCAAGCCCGUCAAGGGCCUGGGCUUCGGCCGGGAGCGCGUCCCGAGGAACAUCACCUGCAUGGCCGGCAGCAUCUCCGCGGACCGCGUGCCGGACAUGAGCAAGAGGGAGCUGAUGAACCUGCUCCUGCUGGGCGCCAUCUCGCUCCCCACCUUCGGCAUGCUCGUCCCCUACGGCUCCUUCCUCGUCCCGGCCGGCUCCGGGAGCAACGCCGGAGGCGUCGCCGCCAAGGACAAGCUCGGCAACGACAUCCUCGUCGAGGACUGGCUCAAGACGCACGGCCCCAACGACCGCACGCUCGCCCAGGGGCUCAAGGGUGAUCCUACCUACCUUGUGGUGGAGUCCGACAAGACCCUCGCCACCUACGGGAUCAACGCCGUCUGCACGCAUCUUGGAUGCGUCGUGCCGUGGAACGCCGCCGAGAACAAGUUCCUCUGCCCCUGCCAUGGAUCCCAGUACAACAACCAGGGCAAGGUCGUCCGUGGGCCUGCACCUCUGUCGCUGGCCCUGGUUCACGCGGACGUUGACGACGGCAAGGUCGUCUUCGUGCCGUGGGUGGAGACCGACUUCAGGACCGGCGACAACCCGUGGUGGAAAUAA
rnacentral:rRNA from 1 species